CAGAGCCUAGAUUCAGCCAUUCAUAAGCACUUCAGCAUCCUUGCCGUGUCCGUGAGCCACAUCAGCCCUCUCAAGACCCGUUCGCGUCUCAGGAUCCGUGAUCAAAUCAUGCCGCGAUCAGCCUUUCUCCCAACUCUUGGAACCUGCGAUCAAGUGUUUCUCUCGUGCAUCCACGAAGCAUCCAGCACCCCGUGUCCGUGUAACCUUACAACGCAUCAUCUAAAUCCCAGCGUGUGACCCCUCAUCCCGAUUCUCAGCUUCCUUCACGCGUCCGGAGAUCCCGCGGCCAGCCGGGAUGCAUACUUCGAACGACCACCCAAUCAUCCCGCGUUCGUGCAACCCCCAAGAUCUCGGCUUCCAUCUUCCUUGCAGUCCACGCAUCCCAGCUCCUCUCGAAUCUCCAACGAUCCAGCUUCUUCCAUCCACAUCAUCUCCCAGCAUCACAACAUCGCCAGCGUCCACACGAGCAAAGCCCAGCUGUCCGUGAAGCCUUCCCGCAUCCACUGCUUCCGGAUUCGUGACCCCAAGGCACCGUUUCCGUCCUCUCCGCUUGUGAUCUCAGUGUCUGCAUCCCAGAUUCCAUCUCAAGCUCCAUCAGUCCAUUUCUCCCGAGAUCUUAGCUUCUAUGAUCAGCUCCCAGCAAGUCCCGACUUCAUCCCAGCAUGCCACGUUCGUCCGCGUGCAGCUCAUCAUCCCGCGAACAUCAUCCGAAUCCUAGCAUCAAUCCUCCGCAUCCCAUGCUUCCGAAUCGGAUCUAUGAAGCCUUCCAGCAUCUCCACGUUUCAGCCUUCCCUAGAUUCCGCAGGCGUCCGUGAUCCAGUUUCCAAAUCUCAGAUCCACGCGUCUUCCGGAUUCGUUCCCAGAUCUUCUCCGUGUCCGUGAGCCAACGUCCGCAACCUCCCGCGAAGCAUUCUCCCAUGAUUCCGCAUCCGGAUAUCUCGCAACUGGAUUAGGGAUCCAUCGGGGGGGGAUAUAGAAGGUUCUUUCUCGGCUGGAAGGGGGGAAGCUCUCUCGGGUUCAAAGAAAAAAAAACAGAGGAGAGUCCCAUUCGAAAAACAGAGGAGUUCCUGUUAUUCAAAG
rnacentral:lncRNA from 1 species